UGUCCAGGGGCGGGAAUCGAACCCACAACCUUCUGCUUACCGGGCAGGUGCCAUGUCCACUAAAUUUUCAGUUGGCUAAACACCAACC